GACGUAGGGCGCAAGCGUUGUCCGGAUUUAUUGGGCGUAAAGAGCUCGUAGGCGGCUUGUUGCGUCGACCGUGAAAACCCGCAGCUUAACUGUGGGCUUGCGGUUGAUACGGGCGGGCUGGAGUUCGGUAGGGGAGACUGGAAUUCCUGGUGUAGCGGUGAAAUGCGUAGAUAUCAGGAGGAACACCUGCGGUGUAGACGGCUUUCUGGACCAUUGUUGACGCUGAGACACGAAAGCGUGGGGAUCAAACAGG
rnacentral:rRNA from 1 species